rnacentral:rRNA from 1 species
GACAGAGGGUGCAAACGUUGUUCGGAUUUACUGGGCGUAAAGCGCGUGUAGGCGGCUUUGCAAGUCGGAUGUGAAAGCCCACGGCUCAACCGUGGAAGUGCAUCCGAAACUGCAUGGCUCGAGUCUCGGAGAGGAAGGUGGAAUGCUUGGUGUAGAGGUGAAAUUCGUAGAUAUCAAGCAGAACACCUGCGGCGAAGGCGGCUCACUGGCCCGAUACUGACGCUGAGGUGCGAAAGCGUGGGGAGCAAACAGG